UCCAUCACUGGGAAGCCCCUGCAGCUCAGGGUGGUGGGGUGGGGGUGGGGGUGGGGUGCGGGGUGGGUGGGGGAGUGGUGGGGGUGGGUGGGUGGGGGUGGGGGGGUGGUGGGGGUGGGGUGGGUGGGGGUGGGGGGGGUGGGGGUGUGGGGGGGUGGGGGUGUGGGGGUGGGGGGGAGGGCGGAGUCUGCGUUCUGACUUCUCCCGCUUAUGUUUUCUUGCUCCAGGAACUAGCCGCAUGGGCUCCAUGGGUCAGCCUUGCUGCUGGCACCCAGAGGCGCAGGGUCCCCGUCCGCUCUCACGCGCAGCCCGGUGGGGUUUGGGAAACCCGAGAGCAGAGCUAGGGGCUGGAGAUCAUCAGGAAGUCCUUGCGGCGGGCCCCGAAGGACCGGGUGGACAAGGAUGGACUGCGGGGUGUUUGCCCCGAGGCUUUCCCGGAAGCCAUCCUUCCACGACUGCGUGGGACCCCUGGACCCGCUCGGAGGACCGCGUCCUGCGGAGGCUGAAGGCGUUCCGGGGCCGAGAAAGGGCCCGCGCUGGGAUCCAACCAUCCCCCACCCCCAGCAUCUCCGCAUCUGCGCCCUCCGCGCCCCAACUCCUCUGCAGAAACCCACGCGGGCCGUGGGCGCCCUCGUGCGACAGAAGAAUUAACUAGCGCCGCCAGCACGAGGCGCAGGGUCUGUCCAGGGACCAUCAGGACCGCGAGGUACCGCUGGGAGGCCCUCAGAGGGAACAGAGGAGCUGUGGCUCAGCGCUGGGAAGGGCAGAGCUGCUGAGGGAGCGGGGCGGCCGGGAAGGGCAAAGCCGGGGGUAGGCUUUCCAGGGUGACCAUGGCCACGACCCCUGGGGAGGCAGGGGCUGCUGUAAAGCUGAAGGGGCUCCAUCCUGCCCAGGGGUGGAGGCAGAGGGCAAGAGGCUCCAGUGAGGUGGCCAGGGCAGAAGCCCAGUGGGGGUGGAACCUGAUGCUGGGUUGGAUGUGACGGGGGACUGCAUGCAAGCAAGGUGACAUGUAAGCUAAGGUGGCACCCUGGUUUGGGGUUUGGGUGGCUAUGUGAGUGCCAGUGCCAUUUCUUCUGAAGGGGGAUGCACUGCGGGGUGGUGGGGCAGGUUGGGAUGGGAACCAAGAAGUACACUUUAAGAUUCCCUCAGUUUCAGGUGGAGACCCAGAGAGAGGUGGAGGCUGCAAUGAAAGUGUCAGGGUAUUGGGAUGUGACCUCAUUACCCAGGAAGAUGAAGGCAGAGACGGAAGGGGCCCCAGGAUUAAAAACUAACAUAUCCAUUUUGCAGCAGCUGGACAGUCUUUUCCUUUAAUCGAGAAAGCAUGGACUGCACAGAAAGGGCAAAAAGCAAACCUGAAGUGCAGGCUGCCUUGCGGGCCUCUGGAGCUGGCCAGGGGCCCAGCCACUGGGAGUCAGGCAAGGAAGCAGGCCUCCAGUCCAGGGGCCAAGCCCGGGCCUCCCUCCCUAGAUGGCUCAGGAAACAAGCCUGAUUGGAUGCAGAGGAUCCAAGUGUUGAUGAUCAGGUCCAGUGAUGCUGGGACCCAUAGAACAGAGCUGCUCCUGGAAUGCAUCUCCCAGUGUCUUGGCACUGGCUGCCAGGAGGUCGUUCCUGGAUGCCAGCUGGAUUAGCGUGGUGUCUGCAUGCACCAUGGCCCU
ensembl:lncRNA